rnacentral:rRNA from 1 species
CCCAGACUCCUACGGGAGGCAGCAGUGGGGGAUAUUGCACAAUGGGGGGAACCCUGAUGCAGCGACGCCGCGUGGGUGAAGGAGCGUUUCGGCGCGUAAAGCCCUCUCGGCAGGGAAGAAGGAGGACGGUACCUGACUAAGAAGCCCCGGCUAACUACGUGCCAGCAGCCGCGGUAAUACGUAGGGGGCAAGCGUUAUCCGGAUUUACUGGGUGUAAAGGGGGCGCAGACGGCAGCGCAAGCCAGGAGUGAAAGCCCGGGGCCCAACCCCGGGACUGCUCUUGGAACUGCGCGGCUGGAGUGCAGGAGGGGCAGGCGGAAUUCCUGGUGUAGCGGUAAAAUGCGUAGAUAUUAGGAGGAACACCAGUGGCGAAGGCGGCCUGCUGGGCUUUUACUGACGCUGAGGCUCGAAAGUGUGGGGAGCAAACAGGAUUAGAUACCCGAGUA